GAUGAACGCUAGCGGGAGGCCUAACACAUGCAAGUCGAACGGGAUUCACCUUCGGGUGAUGAGAGUGGCGCACGGGUGAGUAACGCGUAUGCAACCUUCCCCAAUCAGGGGGAUAGCCCGGAGAAAUCCGGAUUAAUACCCCAUAUUAUUAUAGUUUCGCAUGGGACUUUAAUGAAAGCUUUGGCGGUUUGGGAUGGGCAUGCGUGGCAUUAGCUGGUUGGUGAGGUAACGGCUCACCAAGGCGACGAUGCCUAGGGGUUCUGAGAGGAUGAUCCCCCACACUGGUACUGAGACACGGACCAGACUCCUACGGGAGGCAGCAGUGAGGAAUAUUGGUCAAUGGGCGCAAGCCUGAACCAGCCAUCCCGCGUGAAGGAAGACUGCCCUAUGGGUUGUAAACUUCUUUUGUACAUGAAGAACGGGCCUUACGUGUAAGGUUAUGACGGUAAUGUACGAAUAAGCAUCGGCUAACUCCGUG
rnacentral:rRNA from 1 species